UGCCCUUCCCAACUUCAUGUGUUUCUUUGUCAUUGCUCUUCCUCAUACAGCUUGCCCCCACACUCACAGCUUGGUGUGUAUAUUGUAACAAUGUGUUUCUUUAUUUCAUUGCUCCAGAUGUGUCAUGUUCACUCAUCAUUCACAGAUAUCCGGCCCUUCUUCAUACAGCUUGCCCCCUCCCCACAUUCACUGCUUGCUGUGUCAUAUUCACUCAUCAUUGACUGAUGACCCCUGAACAGAUUUCCGGCCCUUCUUCAUACACCUUGUCUUCCACCUUCACAGUCAUGGCACAACACUCAGGAGUGCUGUGAGUUGCAUGACACCUGCAGAGGCUCCAUACUACAGACUACUACUACUCGGUACUACAGAAACCGGAUCACUUGACAAGCCUGUGUCCUGUUUUGGCCUUCCACACUCUGUAGGAUUGCAUAGGCUCCAUUUCUUCUCCCACAUCACCAUUCCAAAACAACUCCAGAUGUUUCGUUUGUAUUAUGGCCAGUUUCUUUACAUCUGUUACACUACCUGUGUUUUGCACCCAAAACUGGACUGCUCUAUCUGUUUCUUGUUUUUUAUCAUUAUCACUUGCAUUGCUGUAAAUAUGUUCCAUUAGCUCAGUUUUGCAACUAUGAAGUGUACAGUUUUGUUGUUGUAUUACUGUUACGCUGAGCAAAAAGAAACCUCAAACCUUACUCUUAGGCCUAUGUGAAUUCUUCAUGCGUGUCGUGCUCUGUCAACAGUUUGAUGCUUACAAAGCAUUCCAAGUGUCUGUAUGAUGUUCUACCAUUAUGCUAUGCCUUCACACAGUUAAUAACAAAAGGUAUACAGUAUUAAAAAUGCAUAUUCACACUA